AACAUGGCACAUGUAGUAGUUCAACCAUGCCACACAUAUUUUUUUGUUCACACUUGUCAUCCACAGUUGUUUAGACACAUGCAAUCACAUUUGAUUAGGCAUGGUGUCACGCCCAAUAUGCGACCCUAUCCUAAAGGAACUCAAAGGUCCCACCAAGGAUAGAAGCGCAUAUUGGAGACGCUUUUGCAAGGUGGAUAUCAUUACAUCGUACCAUUACAUAAUAGUUGGGGAUACAUACAAGAGGCAUACAAUGCCACACGAAUACAACUUCAUACAUAAGAGCAUCAUCCGAAUACGGAUGAAACACAAACAGAAACUCAAACGACAUCCGCCCUGCUAGCCCAGGCUGCCGACCUGGAACCUAUCCCCUGAUCGAAGAAGAAGCAGAAGAAGAACUCCAAAAUAAGUAAACAUCGCUCUCGCGUCAUGAUCAUCACAAAACCUGUACCUGCAACUAUUGUUGUAGUAAUCUGUGAGCCAUGAGGACUCAGCAAUCCCAUUACCAUGGGUAUCAAGACUAGCAAAGCUUAAUGGAAAAAGGAAUGGAUAAGUGGUGAGGUUGCAGCAGCGUCUAAGCAUAUGUGGUGCCAACAUACGCAAAUGAGAGCGAGAAGAGAAGCAACGGAACGGUCGUGAAGCUAGCAAUGAUCAAGAAGUGAUCCUGAAACUACUUACGUUCAAACAUAACCCAAAAACGUGUUCACUUCCCGGACUCCGCCGAAAAGAGACCAUCACGGCUACACACGUGGUUGAUGCGUUCUAAUUUGAAUCUGGUGUCCAGUUCUCUACAACCGGAUAUUAACAAAUUCCCAUCUGCCACAUAACCGCGAGCACAGCUCUCGAAAGUUUAUACCCUCCAGGGAUGUCCCAACUUAGCCCAUCACACGCUCUCAUGGUCAAUGAAGGAUAUUCCUUCUCCCAGGAAGACCCGAUCAGUCUCGGAAUCCCGGUUACAUGACAUUUUGACAAUGGUAAAAUAAGACCAGCAAGACCGCCCGGAUGUGCCGACAAAUCCCGAUAGGAGAUGCACAUAUCUCGUUCUUAGGGCACACCGGAUGAACACUACGUACAACUAAAACCAACCCUCAAGUUUCCCCGAGGUGGUGCUGCAAGUGGCUCUAGUUCAGACCAACACUCAGAGGAUCACUGGCCCUGGGGGGUUAAAUAAAGAUGACCCUCGGGCUCCGGAAACCCAAGGGAAAAAGGCUUAGGUAGGCAAAUGGUAAAACCAAGGUUGGGCCUUGCUUGACGAGUUUUAUUCAAAGCGAACUGUCAAGGGGGUCCCAUAAAUCACCCAACCGCGUAAGGAACGCAAAAUCAAGGAACAUAACACCGGUAUGACGGAAACUAGGGCGGCAAGAGUGGAACAAAACACCAGGCAUAAGGCCGAGCCUUCCACCCUUUACCAAGUAUAUAGGUGCAUUAAUUAAAUAAGAGAUAUUGAUAUCCCAACAUAAUCUUGUCCAUCAUGGAGAAAUCUUCGACUUCACCUGCAAAUAACAAUGCUAUAAGAAGGGCUGAGCAAAAGCGGUAACAUAACCAAGCAACGGUUUGCUAGGAAGGGUAAAAAGGUUAGAGGCUGACAUGGCAAUUUGGGAGGCUUGAUGAACAAGUGAUAGGUAGCACAGCAUAGCAAUAGAACGAAGCAACUAGCAUAGCAAUGAUAGUAGUGAGAUCCAAGGUGACGGUCAUCUUGCCUAAAAUCCCACUAGGAAGAAGAAUGAGUCCAUGAAGAAGACGAAGCCACGAAGACGAACCAAGCGUAGACGAACGAAUCCUCACGAUCGCAACGAAAUAGGAACUAACGAGAAGGAGCACAACCGGAAAGAAGCAAACAACAAGGUAAACACACAACACAUAAACAUGACAUGAUGCACAACCAAGCAUGAUGCAUGACAAGGCUACAUGCAGCUACUCAUGGCAAGAGAGGAUGCAUACAAGAGCAACACAUUAAAGCAAGUUUAAAUGAGGCCGGAAACAACAUAUAACAAAUCCGGUAAGUCCUCAUAUGCAAAUUUCAAAAUUGGUCCAGAUCUGAAUAAACCUUAUGUUCAAGUUGUUAAACAGCAAGUUAAGAUGCACCAAGAUGAUCUACACGAAAUUCUAGUCAAGUUACAUAUAAAGUUCAUUAGGUUCGGAGCUACGGCCUAGAAGAUAUGAGCAACACAAGAUAAACAUGGCACUUAUGCAAAAUGCAUACAAGCAUCAAGCAAACACACUCAAAUCAUGGAUGCAAUAAGGUAACAUGAAACUACAUGCAAAACUAAGCAAUUUUUAUAUGGAGCAUGCUCAAAACGGAGCAACGGUUCAACACAUACACAUGAAACAAGUCUAAAGGACAAACUGUCCAAAACAGCAACUAGGCAUCUAGCAAGCAUCAAAACAAUAUGCUACAACACAUCAACAUGAAAACAAAAGGCAUGGACAUGAUGUACAUAUGAAGCAUAACAAGACAUGAACACUGAGCUAUCUCCAGAAAACAUGCUCAAAAGGACAUGGCAAGAUUGCAAAUAAUAACAGUUCACAGACUUAGUAGAAAAUCACUGAGCAUGACAGAAAUAACAUCAGGUUGCAAUGUUUAGAGCUAUCAAACAACAUGUUACAGCAAGCUAUCAUGGCAAAAUAGAGCAUGGCAUGCUCAUACUAAAGACAAAUAACAAAACUCCCUUACUGAACUAAUUCCAAAGAUCAAAAUAAAAGAUGGUAGCAUCCAUGCAAACAUGGAAAAUGAUAUGAAAGAUUCAGAAUAAUAGUACAUGGCAGGAACAACGAUAAGUAGGCAUGUUGGUGAGCUUGUACAACUCACCACAGAGAAAUACAUGGCAUGAAAAGAUGACCAACAGUAAGAAGACACAUUUAUGAAGCUAAACAUGGCAAUAGAAUAGUCAUAGGGUGCAUGGAUCACUAGCAAAACUCAUGACAAAACUGAACUUGAUGUUAACAGGCUGACAGCAACAUUAUUUAGCAACUAUGGAGCAUGAUAACGACAAGCUACAGCAGGCUAUAAAUGCAAACAAGGACAUGGAUUGAUACAACAUAACAUGUAGAAUAAAACAUCCUUAGUGAACAUCUCCAGAUUAUGCAUAGAAUGACUUGUAGCAGCAGGUUUACAUAGCAUCAUGAUAUAACAGAUUCAGCCUAGUAAAACAGUAACAGCAAGUAGCCCACUUCACAAGCUUGAUGCACUCACCACAAGGCACACAAAAAUACGUGGAUUGCACAACCGUAAAGAUGGCACGGUGUAGCUCAAAUAUCAUGUAGACAUCAAGCUCAUAGGAUGCACACACAAAAAGCAAUGAAAAAGACAAAUCAACAAGUUCUGUUAACAGACAGCAGUUAACAUCAUAUAGCACUCUUGCCAUGAUGAUUAGGGCAUCAAUAUGGACUCAAACAAGCGUCCCACAAUGGAACAAAAUGAGGAGCAUCUCACAAUGAACAUUUUGAUAUAUCAUACAUUCAAGACGGAGCUAUAUGCAUGAAGCUAUGAUGCGAUGAAGAUGCACAUUUAAUGUUAGGAUCUCGGGGACUUGGAAGAAAAAUGCCUUCCGAAAGUCAACGGGACGAGGCGGUUCGGGGAUGAGCAGAUCCGGGUACGGGGGAGGCGUUGGAUCGGGGGAGUGGUGGAUCUCAUCCCACUCCCCAGAUCCGGCUGUUGAGUAUAUUGAUUCUUUAGGAAACAUAAGAUAGACUAGGAUUUGUCCUGCCUUGUCUUGUACUCCAAGAUGAUCAUGUACUCCUAUAUAUAUGCCCACGAGGCUCAAGCAAUACAACGAACUAUUCCACCAAUCCCUCUCACCCUUCCAACAUGGUAUCUAUCGCAAGUCGAUCCUAAACCCUAGCCGCCGCCCUUCCGCACCUGCACGCCGCCCCCGAGGCGGUCGGCCUCCACGACCGCCGCCGGGGGCCGCGCCACCCGUUCCUAGGGUUCGUCCGCCGGUCGUGUUGACCGGCUUCCCUAGAGAGUCUUUUCCCCGAGGCUUGCUCCGAGGUUUUCUCUCUCCUGCCGGUCAUCUUGAUCGCACGGUUUCUUUUUGGUUUUCUGAUCUAUUCUUGAUCGGUUUGCGUCGCCCACCGCCGCCGUCGACCCCGAGCGCCUCUACUCCGACCUCGGCGUGACCAGCCGGCCUCUCCUCCGACCCGGCGGCCACGCGAGCCGAGGCGGCCCUUCGCCGCCGUCGUUCGCGCGUCGGCCCGCCCGUCGAUCUACGCCGGCCGUCACCCCCUGCUCCGACCGGGACUCCUGCAUCACCCGACCCGGCGGCCUCGCGCCAUGCGGCGGCCAAUCAUAGCCGCCCUGCCGCCCGCCGUCGCCGGCUUCAUCUCGGACACCGCCGACACCCCGUCUCCACCGAGCGGUGUCCCCGACCUCGCGCGUGAUCGGAUUGAUCACCCACCCGCCGCCGCGAUCCGCCACAUGUACCCGUGCGACCGACCUGGCCCGUCGGUUGCGUGCGCCUCCGCAGGUCUCGUGAAGAUCGUCCCCGAGUUCAGCGCGUCCCUCCACCGAUCGAGCAACGGGUUGCCGCUGCAUCGCCCCGUCGGGCCGCAGCGCCGCCGCCCCGUGGUUCUUCUCCUGGAUGCACCGACCCGCGUCACUGCUGCGUCGCCCCUUCGGGCCGUAGUGCCGCGGCCCGCGGUCCACCGCCGCCCCGAGGCCGUCCGCUCCUGGUCGUCCCCGUGGCCGCAUCGACCCUCGCGCCGUCGCUGCGUCGCCCCAUCGGGCCGUAGCAAGCGUGGCACGUGGUCCACGCAGCCGUCCCGAGGCCGUUCCCGCGGUUGCACCAACCCGCACUCCUCCGCCGCACCGCCCCUUCGGGAUGUCGCGCCACGUCCCGCGGUCUCCGCCGCCGCCCCGAGGUCUUACCGUUGUCGCCCCGACCUGCCCGCCGCCGCUGCGUCGCCCCUUCGGGCCGUAGCGUCGCGGCCUGCGGUCCACUCCGCCGUCACUGCGCGCCGACCUCCAGUGGUAUGCGCUGCACCGUCUCCCUUGGCGCAGGAACGCCACCGUCUGCGCCGGUCUUCGUCACGCUGUUGGGUCCUUCGCCUACUUCGAGCACCGCCGCCGCGCUCCUAACCUAGCCGCUGCCUCCGCCGUCAGGCCGCCGUCGCCGCUCUUCUUUGGCCGCCGCCGCCUCUACCAUCGUAGCCGCCGCAGCCGCCCGUCCACCUCCUUCGUCUUCGUCCAGCACCAGUCUGUCACUAGCAUCGCCGUCAUCUACCUCGACCGCUUCAUCUACUCCGACAACCGCGGGCGACAUUGGCCCCAUGCCGAUUGGCGCCGCCACCGUCGUCGAGUCCUUCUCUGCUGGCCUCUCCGACCUCUUCGAGAUGGCGUACAGCUCGUGCAGGUCCCAGUCUAUGCAUGCCCGGUGCUGGCAACACCGCCGCGUGCCUUCGUCCACGACGUGUCCCCGGGCCCGACAAGCCUGGUGCGGUGCUUCGUCAACUUCGUCUCCGUCCGUCUACGCAUGCCCGGUGCUGGCUACACCAACGUGUGCCUUCGUCUACGAUGUGUCCCCUGGGUUGGCAACCCCGGCGCGUCGUGUUGUCAACAUCAUCUCCUUAUUGGCGCACCACUACUUCGACACCACUGCGCCCACGACUAACUCGGCGCCUCCUUGCGCCCGCGGCUCCACGGCAACUUCCUCGACACCGGCUACCCCGACUCGACAUCGACCACGGCAUUCAUCGCACGGCUACCUCGACCACGGCUCCACCACCCAUGCUCUCGGCUACAUCGACAAACGGCACAAAGGGCUACCGCCUGCUUGAGCAAUCUCGUCGGUUUUCACUCCAGCCACAACUCCGCGAUGCGUCGACCGUUACGACUGUGGGGGGGUGUCCGUCGACUUGCCUUCGGAUUCUUCUCCAGUCUCAUCGUCUGCGUCGCUACCGUUGUGACUGCAGGGGGAUGUUGAGUAUAUUGAUUCUUUAGGAAACAUAAGAUAGAUUAGGAUUUGUCCUGCCUUGUCUUGUACUCCAAGAUGAUCAUGUACUCCUAUAUAUAUGCCCACGAGGCUCAAGCAAUACAACGAACUAUUCCACCAAUCCCUCUCUCCCUUCUAACACCGACGACGAGGCGGCAACUCCGGCAAUGUUCUGGCGAGCUCCGGCUCCAACCGGCGCGGAGGAGGACGGCGAGGGGCGGCAAGCUCCGGAUGGCGGGGGCCGAAGGCGGCGGGCUGAGGCGGAGCUGAGGCGGGACGGUGGGGUCGACGCGGGUGGCGCGGCCCAUGGUGGCCGGUGAAGGCGAUGCGGGCGUCGGGGCUCGCCGGCCGGCGGGGCCACGGAGGCGUGGGACGCCGGAGGGGCGAGGGCGACGGGGCCCCGAGCGGGAGGCGCUGCGGAUCGGGGCGGCGACGAGCACGGUCAGCNNNNNNNNNNNNNNNNNNNNNNNNNNNNNNNNNNNNNNNNNNNNNNNNNNNNNNNNNNNNNNNNNNNNNNNNNNNNNNNNNNNNNNNNNNNNNNNNNNNNNNNNNNNNNNNNNNNNNNNNNNNNNNNNNNNNNNNNNNNNNNNNNNNNNNNNNNNNNNNNNNNNNNNNNNNNNNNNNNNNNNNNNNNNNNNNNNNNNNNNNNNNNNNNNNNNNNNNNNNNNNNNNNNNNNNNNNNNNNNNNNNNNNNNNNNNNNNNNNNNNNNNNNNNNNNNNNNNNNNNNNNNNNNNNNNNNNNNNNNNNNNNNNNNNNNNNNNNNNNNNNNNNNNNNNNNNNNNNNNNNNNNNNNNNNNNNNNNNNNNNNNNNNNNNNNNNNNNNNNNNNNNNNNNNNNNNNNNNNNNNNNNNNNNNNNNNNNNNNNNNNNNNNNNNNNNNNNNNNNNNNNNNNNNNNNNNNNNNNNNNNGCGCGGCGGCGGAGGCGUGCAGGCUGCCCCGGGUCCCGAUGGGCUCGGGCGGGCCUGCUACGGGCCCGAGCGGGCUGGCGGCGGAGGGAGGCGACGGCGGGACACGUGGCAUGCUCGGGUUGGACGGGGCGGCUAAGCGGACAUGUCCGGGGCGGGCGGUGGACGUGUCCGGCGGCGCGAGGAGGAAGAAGCUAGGGUUUGACUGCGAGAUUUUGAGGGAAGGCACCUAUUUAUAGAUAGAGGGAGCUAGGAGAGUCCAAAUGAGGAGCAGUUUUCGCCCACACGAUCGUGAUCGAACGGCAGAGAGCAUGGAGGGGGGUUAGAUGGGCUGGGUGGGCUGUGUGAAGUGGUGCUGGGCUGCAAAGGGAAGGGGGGUUUCGGGCUACGCGGUUAACCGUUGGGGCAUCUAACGACCUCCAAAUGGAACGAAAUUUGACAGGCGGUCUCCCGGUGAUACACAAAGGCCACUCGGCAAAUCUCGGCCCAUUCCGAGAAUGCUUUUCUCCCGUUCACGAAACAAGGUCUGAGAGGUGCGAUGGGCGCGUGCGAGUGUGUCUGUGCUCAGAACGGAGAAUGGAGAGAACCGGGGGAACCCGAACGGAUGCAAGUUUUGAAAAACAUGCAGAUGAAAUGCAGAUGAUGACAUGGCAAAAUGCAACACGCAAGCAAGUGACAUGGCAACAAUGACGAAUAGCUGGAAGACACCUGGCGCAUCGGUUCCGGGGCGUUACACAUGGCAAGUACAAUUGAUUUGCCAUGGCAACUACAUCUGUCCAGGCAUGGCAAAUGCAGUCGUCUAGGCAUGGCAACCCAGGCAUAGCACUGCAGUUGUCCAGGCAUGGCCAAUGCAGUUCUGCAUGCAUGGCAACUGCAUCUGUCCAGGCAUGGCAAAUGCAGCUGUCCAGGCAUGGCAACUGUGUCCUGUCAAAUCACCACGAAAACCCCAAUGUCACCUAUGUUCAUUCUCCUGAAUCAUUGUCCACAAAUUCACUCCAUACGUCUCACCUGUGUACGACGUUGAUGGCAGGUACAUGGUUGCCUCCUAUUGCCACGUGCUACAUGAAGGCCCUGCGUUUUUCCAUAUAACUCGUAAGUCUUUGUCACCCUUACAAGUUUAAUUUCAUGUGCACACCAGUAUGUUUCCUUUCCGUACGUGUUACCUUGAUUUGCCACAUUGGCUACUUGAAGUUGGUUGCCCAUACAUCUGUCAGCGUUAGCGCCCUUGCCUGAACUUGCCAUGGUAUCCCCGUCUGUGUGGUUGGGUCAUAAGAACCUGCGAAAAAUGACAUUGUAGGACAUAAGUAGAAUGCCAUCUUCCACGUCACAAAUAUGGCAACUAUCCCUUUUUUGAUCAUGCAUCGUACCGAUGCUUGAUUACUGCUCCAGUAGUGGCAGCAACGGCCCAGCGGAAAUGAGUUGAUUGUACUCUGCUGCAUCCCAAUGGAGCGUUUCUGGCCUUUGAGAAAACCAAGGAUCAGUGUCGUCUUCAUGAUUCACUUUUCCUCUCUUUUUUCUCCUACUGUGUUUUCAGUCACUGCAUGAACAAGAACACCUCAAUAUUCGCAAAAUGCAUUCUUUCUGUUUGCACAUACAAGAAAACACGGCAAUCUUAUGACAUUUCUUGCAUAGACAACCAACACAUCAUGACAAGUAGGACAUGCACAUUCAUUCUCUUUUCUAAAAUCUGGGUGCCAACUAUCAUUUUGAACCGAUGGCAACAGCGAACAUAAUAUGAUGACAAGUAACAACACAAUAUUGUGGCAGCUGGCGGCAAAGAUAGGUGACAACUAACAUCAGAAAGAUGUGGCAAUUAUUUUCCUCCCUCUCUAUGCACCACCCAAAUUCCUCCUUUCUUUCCCCUAUUUUUAGUGAUUCCUACGCAUUCUUAUGCAUCAACUAUGUACUCGCACCAACCCAACCCAGAGUCUUAGCUCAACUCUAGGAUAGAAUAUGGCAAAUCUGGCGAACUUUGGUGGGCAAAUCCAUGUGAAUACGCACAAAUCCGUGGUGUGUUUGUCAUGACAACGUGGAUCUAGUCGCCAUGUUCAUGGGCAAUCUGCAAUUUCAAUUUUCUGAACAGAAGAAGGACAAUAAACAGGAGGAGAUCGGAGAUCGACCUGUUAGNNNNNNNNNNNNNNNNNNNNNNNNNNNNNNNNNNNNNNNNNNNNNNNNNNNNNNNNNNNNNNNNNNNNNNNNNNNNNNNNNNNNNNNNNNNNNNNNNNNNNNNNNNNNNNNNNNNNNNNNNNNNNNNNNNNNNNNNNNNNNNNNNNNNNNNNNNNNNNNNNNNNNNNNNNNNNNNAGAAGGAAGGCGAUGAAGGUAGGGGAUCGAGAAGUACGAGACGACGGCGGCAGCUCGGAAUGAGGUUGGAAGGCAGGCCGGUACGACGGGCGCGUUAGGUCGUGCGGGCAGCGCGCUCGAUCGCCCGAACAUGUGGGCGAUUGUGCCACACACCGGACGUGCGGGCUGUGGCUGCGUGCGCCCGGACGCCGUCGUGCGGGCGGGAUCGUCUCCGUGCCACACAGGACGUGCGGCACAACCCCGUUAGAUGCCACACGUGUGGCAGUUAUGGGUGUCCUUAUUUUUUCACAUGGAUCACUACUCCAUUUGAAAUGUAAGUUGCUUAUUUGAACGUCCGGCCGCAUACAUGUAGCGUGGUGUGCUGUAUAGCCCUUUUCAGUUCGAAACUUGGGUUUGGAACUUUGGAUACAGAAGAAGGGAAAAGCCGUAGUUUGCGUAAGCAUCUAUCUAUUGUUUGGACAAUCCGAAAGAAGCUAGCAGUUGGGAUCCAUCCUUAAGCGCCAGGGCUGCGAUGUCCGGAUCUGCGCCAGGGAUACGACUCUGUGUCUGUCUCUGUGGUCAGUGAACGAUGGACGAGUCCAUUCCACGGGCCAUGAGAGACUACCGCGGCGGCAGAAACAGGCGAGAUUGCGCGCAGAGCCAUCCAACAUCUAUCUAUCAACCAACAAACCGCCAAGCAAAACCAGCGGCUAACCAACCGCGCUUCCGUGCGCGCGUGCGUGUGUGCCAGCUUCAACGGAUCGAGACAGACCCGCCGCGAAACAAGGGGCGGCGGGCCGUGGCAGUAGCACCAAAACAGUCAACAAAGCCGGAGAAGAAGAACCGCCUAAAAAAUCGUCGCCACCAACCUCGCGCGGGAUCCGGGCGGGCCGGGCCGCCUGGAGCCGGAGCCGCCACCGCUCCGGCAGCCAUGGCCUCGCGGCGGCGGCGGCACAGCCGCUCCCUCGUCCUUUCCGCAUCCCAUCCCAUCCCUCUCCUCACCCCGCGCCAGCUUGGGAACUUUUCCGGGGCAUUUUCUGGGCGGAUUUCCGCGUGUCGGUGCCGAUCGGGAACCGGAUCCUAACCGCCCCGGCGUGUAGAUGACGAGAACUCGGAUCCGCGCGCCGCACGUACGGGGGGAACCGGUGACAAAGAUGGCACGCACGCACGCGAGGACAUCGCGCUGGUGGCUUAGCUCGUGUGACGGACGAGAUGGUGCGGUGGGCCGUGGUGGGGUAGGUCGGUAGGUAGACGGCUGGGAGCGCUCUCGUCAACGCGAUUUAAAAAUUCGCCUCUGCUGGUUUCCCUAAAAAAAAUCGUCUCCGAUGGUCUACAUGAACCAGACCCUUUUUUAAAAAAAAAAAGCAGUUGCAGGGUCAGCAAAAAUGCAUUUUAGUGAGCCAUAAGACUUUGGGAAUGGAAUCCUAUGUGACGAAUUAGCAUACUUGAUUGAUAUGCUUACUCGUAAAGGAAACCUACAAAGGUCUUUUCCGUGUAACCGUGUGUGUCACGCUCUAUCCUUAGGCACACCGACAAGAAUUCUAAUAGAAGGAUUUGGUUAAUUCUACCCUUUUUGGGGGUUAGAAUCAUAUGUUGCAUGUCCUUCUAUCGUGGAUACUAUAUAUUGCUUAUAUUUUUCUCUCUCUUCCCCCCUAGAAACACUAAUGUGACAUAAGUGAUUAGUCCAUCAUGUUUGAUUUUGGUUUUGGGAUGAAAUGUUUUAAACUUAUUUUUGCACAACAACUUGUGUCCUACAACACAAGAUCUCACUGCCAAAUUACACGAUGGUGUAAAAUAAAAUCUUUGCGGAAGUUUUAGGUGUAGCAAAAUUAUCGGGUCAUAUUGUUGGAAAAAAAAUACUUUAAUGAGCUAAGACUUUGGGAAGCAUGGCAAUUGUGUGAUAUCUCUCUAUGUAUUGUAUGUGACAAAUAAGCAUACUUGCUAUACUUACUCAUUAAGGAUAAGGAAACCUACAAAGGGGUUUUCUGCGUAACCUUUUGUGUCACGCUUUAUCCUUCGACGUAUGUGAAAAGUCCUCUACUACAAGCAACUCGGUUAUGUUUACUCUUCUUGUUCCGGUAGAAACCCCAAGUGUUCCAUGUCCUUGUACCGUUCGUACUAUGUAUUGCUUACCUUUUAUCUCUUUGAAAAUGCUAAUAUAGUAUAGUUAAUAGCUAUACAUGAUUAGGGGUUUAAUUUUUAGAAAACUGAUUUUAUCCUAUGUCCGACAACCCGAUUUACUAUAUAUGUCUCUUAGAGGGCAAUGCACUUACCAUCCCACUGCCAAAUUACACAAUGGUAUAAAAUAAAACAAAAAUUACCAAGUCAUGUUGUUAGAAACAAAAAUAUUGUUUUUGGAAGCAUGGCAGUUGUGUGAUAUAUCUCUCAUUUCAUGUAUUAUAUGUGUCGAAUUAGCAUACUUGAUGUGCUUCAUCACAAAGGAGACCUAUUAAGGUCUUUUCUAUGUAACCUUGUGUGUCACGCUUUAUCCUUUGGACAUAUGUGAGAAGUCUUUAGUACGAGCAAUUCAGUUAAGUUUACUCUUGUUGUUUCGGUAACAAAAGCCAAAUAUUGCAUGUUUUUGUACCAUCGAUACUAUAUAUUACUUACCUUUUCUCUCUUUCUUUGGAAAUGCUAAUAUAGCGUAGUUAAUAGGUAUACUUGAAGGGAGGCUCAUUUUUGGAAAACUGAUUUCGUCAUAUGCCCGACACUCGGUUUACUAUACAUGACUCCUAGAGGACAAUGGACUUAGCAUCCCACAGCCAAAUUACACAGCCAUAUAAAAUAAAAUUUUGUUGAAGUGCUAGGUGUAGCAAAAUUACCAAGUCAUGUUCUUCGAAAAAAAAAUUGUUUUUGGAAGCAUAGGAGUUGUGUGAUAUAUCUCCCAUUGUAUGUAUUAUAUGUGACGAAUUAGCAUACUUUCUAUGCUUACUCAUAAAAGAAGCGUACAAAGGUUUUUUCUGUGUAACCUUAUGUGUUAUGCUUUAUCCUUGAACAUGUGUGAAAAAUCUUCUAGUACAAGCAAUUCAGUUAAGUUUACUCUUAUUAUUCUGGUAAGAAAAUUUGAGUGUUGCAUGUCCUUGUAUCGUCGGUACUAUAAUCGCUUACCUUUUCUCUCUUUCUUUGGAAAUGCUAAUAUAUCUUAGUUAAUUAGUUAUACUUGAUGGGAGGCUAAUUUUUGGAAAACUGAUUUCAUCCUAUGUCCGACAACUUGAUUUACUACAUGUGUCUCCUAGAGGACAGUGUACUUACCAUCCCACUGCCAAAUUACACAUUGGUAUAAAAUAUAAUCUUUGAUGAAGUGAUAGUUGUAGCAAAAUUACCAGGUUAUAUUGUUGAAAAAAAUAUUGUUUUAAUAAGCUAAGACAUUGGGAAACAUGAUAGUUGUAUGAUAUCUCUCUCACUAUAUGUCUUAUAUGUGAUGAAUUAGCAUACAUGCCAUGCUUACUCAUAAAGGAAAAAUGAGGCCUCUCAUGUGUAACCAUGUGUAGCACACUAUUUUUUGGACACACGUGAAAAACCUUCUAGUAGAAGCAAUUCGAUUAAUUGUACAUUUUCUUGUUGUGGCAAGAAAGCUCACAUGUCGCAUGUCCUUGUACCGCGGAUUCUACAUACUUACCUUGUGUGUCACACUCUAUGUUAGAGUUGUGUCGAAUAUAGUGUACAAGGUAGGUUACAGUUGGACUAGGAGUUGUAUUGUGUUUACAUAGGAUGUUGAGUUGUGUCCUAAUAGGACACUUGUAUCCUAGGCCUCUCAUAUAUAGCGGGGGUAGACACACGAUGUAACCUAUGCCAACAUAAUAGCACAGGCGCGCAAGGGGGAGCCGGCGGCGUGUGCCGGCGCCUGGGUGGUCGGAGUGCGGUAUUGUGACGGUGUCACGGGGAGGAGCGCCCGUAGUCAGUCCCCGGGGAUGUAGCCAUAUCGGUGAACCUCGUUAACAAAUCUCGGUGUCGUGCUCGUGUGAUUGCUUGGUCCUCGGAUGAUCGACGGUAUGCCUCGGAUUUAUUCUAACAAGUGGUAUCAGAGCAAGGUUCGAUUUGAGGCCGUGGUGUUGAUCUAGAGGAGGAGGAAAAUUCGUCUUUGAUCAGUUGUUCGCAGGAAAGAUGUCACCGAGCGAGUGCCAUAGGCGGAUGAGAAAUCGAUCUUUCAGCAGAUGAGUACAAGAAGCGAAUUAAGAAGCACGCGGUGGCAUGUUUCGACGGAUCAGAACGGAAGUUAGCAGCGAGUAGCGUCGGCGAGAUCGAUUCGUAGAUUGACAGAGGCAGCGGCGGAAUCCUAGCGUCGGAAGUCUCGGCAAGAUCGGAUUCGAAGAGAUCGACUAGGCGUACUACAGCCGGUGCUGGUAGGCUGGCCCAGGAGGGGCUGGCCGAACAGGCCAUGCGUGGGCGGAGGCCCACGGGGCACCAGCGGGAGUCAUGGCUCGGUGGGCAGGUUGGGCUGUGAGAGCACAUGGUAGCUAGUCCAUGGGUGACUACCGCGGGCGCGUGUGUGUGCUGGAGGCUGCGAAGCGUAUGUCUGUAUGCUAUAGAGAGCUACGUUUUGAAAAAAAGGAGGGGACCGAGUCUCCAAUGACACGGAGUUAGGCAGGCAAAUCAAUCGGGAAAAUAAAUCCAUCAAGGGAUAUCCAUCCAUUGAAAUUAGCAGGAGGCAUUCACAAGGCAAUUGCUAGCAUCAGGAAGUUGAGCUGAGACAAGAGUUACCACGUGAAGGCCAAAAAAAUUCUCUUGGUUUUGCUAUAGCACGCAGAGGUCUUGUCCGUGUGCUUGGGGCAUCGCGUGGAAAGCUCAUAUAAUUUUUCGCAGGGUCAGUCGUACAAAUAACCAUGGCGCAAACGGAUACCAGGUUUGAGGUGGAGAAGUUCAUGGAACUAAAAACCUUGGGUUAUGGCAGACAAGGAUGAAAAAUUUGUUGGCACAACAGGAAUGCUUGAGGGCAUUGCGGGAAGUCAUGCCAGCUAAGAUGGAAUUAUGUGUGAUGGAUGGGAAUUCGCGGAAGACGAUUUGGGAGCCUCAAGCGUGUCAUGCAGUCGAACAAGUUCGGCUUGGUCGGACUAGCCAGUCUGACAGGAUUGAAGCGAGUCGGUUGGUACAGAAGAUGGUGGUGGGAUCGGCGACGACGACGUAGGAGCGUGAUGCUGAUGGUGACCGACUUCUGGGGCGUGGAAACACGUGGCGCGGGCCCGAGGGCUUGUGUGACUUCGACAAGACUAUGGCGCGGAAUUGAUUCAAGGUGGUGUGUAUACACGGAGCUUGAAGUCGAUGAGGCGCAGAAGGUGGACUGAUCAUCUACCAUGGAGUCAUGUUGAAGGUGGAGCUAGAGUCUAACGGAAGACUUCACUCGGUGCUGAUUGAGGGGCUACGGUGUAAGACAUUAGAGAGUCGAAGCCUAUUCAGCGGGAAAAGCGAGUGACAUGCAGUUCGGACUGGAGCCCAGUGGUCUGAUGGAAGCGUGAAACUCGUCAUCGGUCGGUGAUGAUCGGUGGUACUCUGCAGUGGGGGUUGAGUGAUGUGGUUUCACGACCCUUGAGACUCGACCGGGACAGCGGAGGCUCGACGCGGUAAUAGCGGCGAGGCGUGCGGUAGCACGGGACAUGGAGACGGGCUAGGGCUCUGGUGGUCAUACAUGUGGUGAGACAACUGCGAAUUUGACUCGGAUGACUACAAGCAAUGGUGAAAUUCCUUCAAGUUUCAGACAGUCAGUCAAGAAAGGAGCGGUGAUGUUCAGUUGAGGUAACUCUUAUGUGUGACACCCAGUAUGUGAGUUGUUCACUUUCACGCAGGUCAGUGAUCCGUGUGUAAUGGCAUUGACGGAUACUCUGGAAGUUGGGAGAACAAACUAGAGUAACAAGGAACUUAAUUUUGCUCGAGUGUUGACUGUGGUCGAGAAAAGGAGGGACUACAAGUUACAGGUGGAGUCAUAUGGAGUCUUUGGAGUAGCAGCGGUGCUCAUGGGAUAAGCUCAAGUUCAAUGUACAUGGAAGUUUAACGCAUUGACGAAUUCAAGAUGGUGGAGUAUAUUCGCCAAGGUGGAGUUUGUUAGAGUUGUGUCAAAUAUAGUGUACAAGGUAGGUUACAGUUGGACUAGGAGUUGUAUUGUGUUUACAUAGGAUGUUGAGUUGUGUCCUAAUAGGACACUUGUAUCCUAGGCCUCUCAUAUAUAGCGGGGGUAGACACACGAUGUAACCUAUGCCAACAUAAUAGCAUAGGCGCGCAAGGGGGAGCCGGCGGCGUGUGCCGGCGCCCGGGUGGCCGGAGUGCGGUAUUGUGACGGUGUCACGGGAAGGAGCGCCCGUAGUCAGGCCCCGGGGAUGUAGCCAUAUCGGCGAACCUCGUUAACAAAUCUCGGUGUCGUGCUCGUGUGAUUGCUUGGUCCUCGGAUGAUCGACGGUAAGCCUCGGAUUUAUUCUAACACUAUCCUUUGGCAUAGCUGGAAAGUCUUCUAGUAGAUGCAAUUCGGUCAAUUUUACUCUCUUUUUUGUUUUGGCAAGGGAACUCACAAUAUGCCCUUAUACCACAUACACUACAUAUUACUUACCUUCCAGCUCUCUAGAAAUGACAAUAUGUCAUAAAUGAUUAGUUAGUCAUACUUGAUUUAUUUUUUGAGGGUGGCAGUACCUUAUUAUUUGAAAAAAAAAACUUCCAUCUAGUGCCCCACAACUCAAUUUACCAUGUGUGUCUCCUACACGACAAUGCACUUACCAUUCGACUGCUAAAUUACACGAUGCUGUAAAAUAAACCUUUGCUGAAGUGUUAAGUGCAACAAAGUUAUCGGGUCAUAUUGUUGAAAUAAUAUUAUUUUAAGAGCCAAUUUUUAAAAAGAUGACAACUAUGUGAUAUAUCUCUCAUUUUAUGUGCUAUUGUUGUAAUGAAUUAGCAUACUUCCUAUGCUUAUUCAUAAAGGGAAUCUACAAAGGUUUUUUCUGUAACCUUGUGUGUCACGCUCUAUCCUUGGACACAUUUGAAAAGUUUUCUAAUACAAGAAAUUCAGGUAAUUUUACUCUUCUUGAUCUGGUAAGAAUACUCAACACUACUAGGGAAAAGCCUAGCAGUAGUGCGGGUCUAAGGGCUAUCAGUAGCGCGGGAAACCGCGCUACUGAUACAGCAAUACAGCUAACAUUUAGCAAUAGCGCGUUUUAACACGCGCUACUGCUAUACCUACUUAGCAGUAGCGCUUUCCAUACCAGCGCUACUGCUAAGUGCCUUAGCAGUAGCGUUUUCCUGUCUAGUACUAAAGAGCGCUACUACUAUAUUUUCACAUAUCCUUUUUUUGCUACGUAUUUGCGAUGUUUUUGUACAGAUUUUAUACAGUAUUUUAAUCAUAUCAUAAACAUGCAAUAUGCUCAUCAUAUCAUGCACAUAAUACGGACAUCGAGUAUUUGAUCUCGAGCUCAUAUGCUACCGCAUGAACAGCAAAAUCAAAAAAAUAGUAAAAAAAUCAAAAAAAACUGCUUUUUUUUGUGAUGAACAUUGAAAAAAUUUCUAACUGCAUGCAAAAUUUCAGGUUGAAAUGACAUUAGAGGAGGUCUUGGCAAAAAAAUUGAUGGUCCAAAAAGACUAUUGUUGGAAGCAUUUUGGAGCAUCGAUUUUGUUAUUUUUGCGCAGUCCUCCACGAAUGUCAUUUUGACCUAAAAUUUUGCAUCCAGUUUAAACAUUCAUCAGUGUUUAUCACAAAAAAAAUCAAGUUUUUUUGAAUUUGUUUACUAUUUUUUUGAUUUUACUAUUCAUGCGGGAGCAUAUGAGCUCGGGAUCAAAAGAGCACUUUCGACAUAAUAGUCUCAUCAUAUCAUCCAACACAAAUCAUGUGGUCACAUCAUAAUCACAAUAUUGCUAUACAAGUUACAUGACAUGUCUCAUCAUACAUAAUGUAGUAAUUCUUGAGGCGCCGGUUCGUAUCCCUCUCUCACACUAGCGUGAACCUAAACUAACUAUUUUCCGCUUUGGCUCUGCUAUCGAACCCUCUCUGGCUGUCCCUCAGAAACCGGUACACCUGGGCCUGACACUCCGGCCACUUGUCAUCUACUCCUGGCGCAGCACUUCUUCGCCAUCGAUCAUCUAUGUACCUGCAUUGUCACAUGAGUCGAUAAUAUGCAACAUAUAUAGUUGAGCAACAGAAAGAGAUAGGGUUGGCAAAAAUAGAAGCAACAUAUCAUAAGCAUAAAUAAAAAAGUUCAUCGUACCCAAAAUGCCCUAACUAGAAUGAUCUUGGCUAGUUGAGGAGGACGGUUUAAUUACAUCGCAAAUAAAGUUUCGUCGUGCAUAACUCAAAGUUUCGUCAUAGAGAAAGUAUGGACUAAACGAACACAUUGUCAUAUAUCGUUAAUCACUCCAACAGGUCGUGCCAUCCAUCCAAUUCAGGGAGAUAGUUCCCGAGCACAGUGAAAGGCUUCAGGUCGAGACGUUGAGCGGCUACGCAUGUUCGGACGUCUUCCCGUGACAUUUGCCCUUCCUCAUAGAACAUCCUAUUUUUUCGAGGACCUCCUUCAUGAUGAUUUGGGCAAGUUCACGCUGGAUGUGAUAGAACUCAGCUCGGAGUCGAUGAUCCGGGAUAUCUCCUAGGUUCUUUGCCCAUUGCAGAAUAUGGGCAUCGCUGGAUCUAGGUGACAUGCGAAGGUUCUGUUGAUCCCGUCUGUACUCUAGUAUGUGGUGGAGGACAUAGAAUCCGUCACUGAGAGUACCACUCGGUUGCUGGAUGCAGCAGAAGUCGGUCUUAUGGCAGAAGGCGGGCGCGCGGUUCCUUGUCUUCUUGAGUGUGAUCUCUCCACCCCGUAGGCUGUAGCUAAAGAUAGCACUGUCGAGAACAUUCUUGAUUGAUGACCCACAAGUGUAGGGGAUCUAUCGUAGUCCUUUUGAUAAGUAGGAGUGUCGAACCCAACGAGGAGCAGAAGGAAAUGACAAGCUGUUUUCAGUAAGGUAUUCUCUGCAAGCACUGAAAUUGUAGGUAACAAAUAGUUUGGUGAUAAGAUAAUUUGUAACGGGUAACUAGCAAUGAAAGUAAAUAAGGUGCAGCAAGCUGGCCCAAUCCUUUUUGUAGCAAAGGACAAGCCUGGACAAAUUAUUAUAAUGAGAAAAGCACUCCCGAGGACAUAUGGGAAUUAUCGUCAAGCUAGUUUUCAUCACGCUCAUAUGAUUCGCGUUCGUUACUUUGAUAAUUUGAUAUGUGGGUGGACCGGUGCUUGGGUGAUGUCCUUUCCUAGACAAGCAUCCCACUUAUGAUUAACCCCUACUGCAAGCAUCCGCAACUACAAAAGAACUAUUAAGGUAAACCUUACCAUAGCAACGCAUAAACUAGGGUUUAAGCUUCUGUCACUCUAGCAACCCAUCAUCUACUUAUUACUUCCCAAUGCCUUUCUGUAGGCCCAAAUAAUGGUGAAGUGUCAUGUAGUCAACGUUCACAUAACACCACUAGAGGAGAGACAACAUACAUCUCAUCAAAAUAUCGAACGAAUACCAAAUUCACAUGACUACUAAUAGCAAGACUUCACCCAUGUUCUCAGGAACAAACGUAACUACUCAAAAAGCAUAUUCAUGUUCAUGAUCAGAGGGGUAUUAAUAUGCAUUAAGGAUCUGAACAAAUGAUCUUCCACCGGAUAAACCAACUAGCAUCAACUACAAGGAGUAAUCAACACUACUAGCAACCCACAAGUUCCAAUCUGAGGUUUGGAUACAAAGAUUGGAUACAAGAGAUGAACUAGGGUUUGAGAGGAGAUGGUGCGGUGAAGAUGUUGAUGGAGAUUGACCCUUUCCCGAUGAUAGGAUCGUUGGUGAUGACGAUGGUGAUGGUUUCCCCAUCCCGAAGGGAAGUUUCCCCGGUAGAACAGCUCCAUCGGAGCCCUAUAUUGGUUCCGCCAAGGUUCCGCCUCGUGGCGGCGGAGUUUCGUCCCGAAAGCUUGCUUAUGAUUUUUUCCAGGGUAAAAGACUGCAUAUAGCAGAAGGGGCGCGCCCUGAAGGGUGGGCACGCCCCCACCCUCGUGGCCAGGGUGUGGGCCCCCUUUGGUACUUCUUUCACUCAAUAAUUAUCAUUAAUUCCAAAAAUGACUUCCGUGGAGUUUCAGAACUUUUGGAGCUGUGCAGAAUAGGUUUCCAAUAUUUGCUCCUUUUCCAGCCCAGAAUCCCAGCUGCCAGCAUUCUCCUUCUUCAUGUUAAACCUUGUAAAAUAAGAGAGGAUAGCCAUAAGUAUUGUGACAUAACGUGAAAUAACAUCCCAUAAUGCAAUAAAUAUCGAUAUAAAGGCAUGAUGCAAAAUGGACGUAUCAACUCCCCCAAGCUUAGACCUCGCUUGUCCUCAAGCGAAAGCCGAUAUCGAAAAAUAUGUCCACAUGUUUAGAGAUAGAGGUGUCGAUAAAAAUAAAAUACGGACAUGAGGGCAUCAUGAUCAUUCUUAUAACAGCAACAUAUAUAUAUUGUCAUAUGAUUUCUUAUGCUCAAGUAACAAGCUAUUCACAAUGUCAAGUAUGAUUCAAAAACUUCAUUGAGAACUAACAAACUAUAAUCUCAGUCAUUGAAGCAAUUGCAAUUUAUCAUAACAUCGGAAAGAGUCAAUAAUAGAGCUAUUCAGCAAGUCCACAUACUCAACUAUCAUUUAGUCUUCCGCAAUUGCUAACACUCACGCAAUACUUAUGGUUUUGGAGUUUUAAUCGGACACAGAGAAAGAUAGGGGCUUAUUAUGUUACCUCCCAACCUUUUACCUGAAGGCUAAUGUCAACAAUAAUAGUUCAUGCUAACUUACAUCCAAUUGGAUAUAUAUAUCACGAUCUUUCCAACACGAGGUGCUUGCCAAAGGAUAAAAUAAAAAGGAAAAGGUGAAGAUCACCUUGACUCUUGCAUAAUGUAAAAGAUAGGCUCUACGCAGAGGGAAGCAGAGGUUGUCAUGUGCUUUUGGGUUGGAUGCACGAAAUCUUAAUGCAAAAGAACGUCACUUUAUAUUGCCACUUGUGAUAUGAACCUUUAUUAUGCAGUCCGUCGCUUUUAUUGCUUCCAUAUCACACGAUCGUAUAAAGCUUAUUUUCUCCGCACUAAUAAGUCAUACAUAUUUAGAGAGCAAUUUUAACUGCAUGCAACAUGACAACUUACUUGAAGGAUCUUACUCAAUCCAUAGGUAGGUAUGGUGGACUCUCAUGGCAAAACUGGGUUUAAGAAUAUUUGGAAGCACAAGUAGUAUCUCUACUUGGUGCAAGGAAUUUGGCUAGCAUGAGGGGGAAGGCAAGCUCAACAUGUUGGACGAUCCAUGACAAUAUACUUUAACUGAGAUGUGAGAAAACAUAAACCAUUACGUUGUCUUCCUUGUCCAACAUCAACUCUUUAGCAUGUCAUAAUUUAAUGAGUGCUCACAAUCAUAAAAGAUGUCCAAGAUAGUAUAUUUAUAUGUGAGAACCUCUCUUUCUUUAUUACUUCCUAUUAAUUGCAACGAUGACCAAAACUACGUUUGCCAACUCUCAACAACUUUCAAGCCUCAUACUCUCUAUGUGUGAAGUCAUUACUAUCCAUAAGAUCAAUAUGAACUCUUUUAUUAUUUUUAUUCUUUUAUGCACUUAAGAUCAUGGCAAGAUAGCAAAGCCCUUGACUCAACACUAAUCUUUAUUAUAUAUAGCUCACGGACUCGAUUACAUGGAGGGAUCACAAAGCAAAACUCGAAACUAAUUCAUACCAAAACUUUAUUCUAAUAGAUCAAGAUAUUACCAAAAGGAUCGAACUAAGUAAAACAGUAAAGAUAGGAGUGUGAUGGUGAUACGAUACCGGGGCACCUCCCCCAAGCUUGGCAGUCGCCAAGGGGAGUGCCCAUACCCAUGUGAUCAUGUGUCCUUUGCUGGUGAAGAAGGUGGUGAUGAUGAUGGAUAGUCUCACAUCGAGCGUAGGAGCUCUUCUAAUUUGUGAAUAAUGCCCUUGAAUGCGAUGAUAUGCUCCUUCAACAAAUCAUUUUCCUGUGCGAGAUACUUGUUUUGUAUGCAAGCUAACCCAAUCAUUUUGAAAGCUUCAAUCUCAGUUGGGGUAAAGAGGUUAGGUAGAGGUUGAGGGAUGUUUUCUUCUUCUGCCGCCGGAGCUUGAUCCUCCAUGGCCUUCUUGAUCCCUUCAUCCAUGUUGACCUCCUCAAGUUCUUCUCUCUUCAGCUCUAUCUUCAAUAGCCAAGCAUCCCUGUCUUCAUUGUUGGAGGAGGGUGACGUCAUGAUGCUCUAAAUCUGUCAGAAAAACAGCUCGAAACAAAGACAGAAGAUUUUUUGCGUGAUACGGUGGUCAAAACCUUCGGGAGAUUAUAUAAUAAUUUUUUACCGACCAAAAGAAGUAUCGUGCAAGAAAACGGAGUCCGGAGAGCACACGAGGUGCCCACGAGGCAGUGGGGCGCGCCCAGUAGGGUAGGGCGCGCCUUCCACCCUCGUGGACGCCUCGUGUCCAUCCCGGACUACUUCUUAUUUUCCUAUUUUCUUAAAUAUUCCAAAACGAAGAAAAAUUGCUAUUAGAACUGUUUUGGAGUCGGUUUACUUACCGUACCACAUACCUAUUCCUUUUUGGAGUCUGAAACAUUCUGGAAAGUGUCUCUUAUGUAUUCCUCCGGGGUCACAGUUUCAAUAAUAUUAGUUUCAACAUUUAUUGGGUUACCUGAGAUAUAGUGUUUGAUUCUUUGACCGUUCACCACCUUCGGAUUCGUGCCUUCGAAGUUGUUGAUUUUUAUGGCACCACAACAGUACACCUCCUCGAUAAUGUAAGGGGCUUCCCAUUUAGAGAGAAGUUUUCCUGCAAAAAAUCUUAAACGAGUUGAAAAGCAAAACAUAAUCACCUACAUUAAACUCACGCUUUUGUAUCCUCUUAUCAUGCCAUCUUUUAACUUUUUCUUUAAACAGUUUGACAUUCUCGUAGGCCUGGGUUCUCCAUUCAUCAAGUGAGCUAAUAUCAAAUAACCUCUUCUCACCGGCAAGUUUGAAAUCAUAAUUGAGAUCUUUAAUAGCCCAAUAUGCAUUAUGUUCUAGUUCGAGAGGUAAGUGACAUGCUUUUCCAUAAACCAUUUUAUAUGGAGACAUACCCAUAGGAUUCUUAUAUGCAGUUCUAUAGGCCCAUAAUGCAUCAUCAAGUUUCUUGGACCAAUUCUUUAUAGAUCUAUUAACAGUCUUUUGCAAAAUUAAUUUGAGUCUCUGUUACUCAAUUCUACUUGACCACUAGACUGUGGGUGAUAUGGAGAUGCAAUUCUAUAAUUAACUUCAUACUUAGCAAGCAUUUUACGAAAGGCACCAUGAAUAAAAUGUGAACCACCAUUAGUCAUGAGAUAUCUAGGCACUCCAAACCUCAGAAAAAUAACUUCUUUAAGCAUCUUAAUAGAGGUGUUAUGAUCAACACUACUAGUUGGAAUAGCUUCUACCCAGUUAGUAACGUAAUCAACAGUAACUAAAAUAUUUGUAUACCCGUUAGAGGUAGGAAACGGUCCCAUAUAAUCAAAGCCCCAAACAUCAAAUGGUUCAAUAACAAGAGAAUAGUUCAUAGGCAUUUCUUGACGUCUACUAAUAUUACCAAUUCUUUGACAUUCAUCACAAUACAAGACAAACUUACGGGCAUCUUGGAAGAGAGUAGGCCAAUAAAAACCGGAUUGCAAUACCUUAUGUGCAGUUCUAUCUCUAGCGUGGUGUCCUCCAUAUGCCUCGGAGUGACACUUGCGUAGGAUCUAUUCAUGUUCAUGCUCAGGUACACAACGUCUAAUAACACCAUCUACUCAUUCUUUAUAAAGGUGUGUGUCAUCCCAGAAAUAAUGUCUUAAAUCAUAAAAGAACUUUUUCUUUUGCUGGUAUAUGAAACUAGGUGGUAUACAUUUAGCAACAAUGUAAUUAGCAUAGUCAGCAUACCAUGGAGCAGUACGAGAAGCAUUUAUGACCGCUAAUUGUUCAUCAGGGACGCUAUCAUCAAUAGGUAGUCGGUCAUCAAGAACAUUCUCUAAUCUAGAUAAGUUGUAUGCAACGAGGUUCUCAGCUCCCUUUCUAUCAAUAAUAUGCAAAUCAGAUUCUUGGAGCAAGAGAACCCAUCUAAUAAGUCUAGGUUUAGCAUCUUUCUUUUCCAUGAAAUAUUUAAUAGGAGCAUGAUCAGUGUGAAUAGUUACUUUAGAAUCAAAAAUAUAAGGUUUGAACUUAUCACAAGCAAAUACAACUGCUAAGAAUUCUUUUUCAGUAGUAGCAUAAUUUCUCUGGGCAGUGUCUAGAGUUUUACUAGCAUAUUGAAUAACAUUUAGUUUCUUAUCAACUCUUUGUCCUAGAACAGCACCUACAUCUUAAUCGCUAGCAUCACACAUAAUUUCAAACGGUAAAUUCCAAUCAGGUGGCUGGACAAUAGGUGCAGAAAUCAAAGCUUUCUUAAGUAUUUCAAAUGCUUCUACACAAUCAUCAUCGAAGACAAAAGGAAUAUCUUUUUGCAAUAAAUUAGUCAGAGGCCUACUAAUUUUGGAAAAGUCAUUAAUGAACCUCCUAUAAAAACCCGCAUGACCGAGGAAACUUCUUAUACCAUUAAUGUCCUUGGGACACGACAUCUUUUCAAUAGCAUCAACUUUAGCUGUAUCAACUUCAAUACCUUUCUCAGAAAUUUUAUGCCCCAAGACAAUACCUUCAUUAACCAUAAAGUGGCACUUUUUCCAAUUCAAGACGAGACUAGUGUCUUUGCAUCUCUGCAAAACUCGAUCAAGGUUGCUUAAACAAUCAUCAAAAGAGGAUCCAUAAACGGAGAAAUCAUCCAUGAAUAGCUCACAAAUCUUUUCACAAAAGUCAGAGAAUAUAGCCAUCAUGCAUCUUUGAAAGGUAGCAGGUGCAUUACAUAAACCAAAAGGCAUACGUCUAUAAGCAAAAGCACCGAAAGGGCAAGUAAAAGUGGUCUUUGCUUGAUCGUCCGCUGACACAGGUAUUUGAGAGAAGCCAGAAUAACCAUCUAGAAAGCAGAAAUGUGUAUGUUUGGAUAGUCUUUCUAGCAUUUGAUCAAUAAAAGGUAAAGGGUAAUGAUCUUUCUUAGUAGCUUUAUUUAAUUUACGGAAAUCAAUUACCAUCCUAUAGCCUAUAAUAAUUCUUUGCGGGAUCAAUUCAUUUUUAUCAUUAGGAACGAAGUAAUACCUCCCUUCUCAGGGACACAAUGGACAUGACUUACCCACUGACUAUUAGCAACGGGAUAAAUUAUACCUGCCUCAAGGAGCUUUAGUAUGUCUUUUCUUACCACUUCCUUCAUCUUAGGAUUUAAUCGCCGUUGAUGAUCUCUAACUGGUUUGGCAUCUUCUUCCAAUUUUAUUUUGUGUUGGCAUAAAGUGGGGCUAAUGCCCUUAAGAUCAUCAAGAGUAUAUCCGCUAGCAGCACGGUGCUUCUUCAGAGUUUUCAAUAAUCUUUGCUCUUCCUGCUCUGAAAGGUUAGAACUAAUAAUAACAGGAUAUAUCUUCUUUUCAUCAAGAUAAGCAUAUUUAAGAGUAUUAGGUAAUGGUUCAAGCUCAAACACGGGAUCACCAUUGGGUGGAGGGGGAUCCCCUAAGAUUUCAACAGGCAAGUUGUGUUUCUGAAUAGGACCCUGUUUAAAGAAUACUUCAUCUGUCUCCCUUCUUUCAUUCAUAAACAUAUCAUUUUCAUGGUCUAGCAAAUAUUGUUCUAAAGGAUCAAUAGGAGGCACGGCAAUAGAAGCAAGACCAAUAAUUUCAUCCUUACUAGGCAAUUCUUUAUCAUGGGGUUGUCUACGGAAUUUAGCAAAAUUAAACUCAUGUUUCAUAUCCCCCAAGCCAAUUGUAACAACAUCCUUUUCACAAUCAAUUUUAGCAUUACCUGAUGACGGGAAAAUGGUGGGCGAGAGAACACGUGUCCACGUCAUUGAUACAAAAUGAAAUUUAAAUGCAUAAAAUAAAAAUAGAAUCAAACAUUGCAGGUACAUUAUCUCCAGAACUCUUACAUUUACAUAAAAAUUCUGUUAAUUACAUCUCCGAAGAGAGAACCCAUGAUUAAGAAUUACUUCCCGGACUCCGCCGAAAAGAGACCAUCACGGCUACACACGCGGUUGAUGCGUUCUAAUUUGAAUCUGGUGUCCAGUUCUCUACAACCGGAUAUUAACAAAUUCCCAUCUGCCACAUAACCGCGAGCACAGCUCUGGAAAGUUUAUACCCUCCAGGGAUGUCCCAACUUAGCCCAUCACACGCUCUCACGGUCAACGAAGGAUAUUCCUUCUCCCAGGAAGACCCGAUCAGUCUCGGAAUCCCGGUUACAAGACAUUUUGACAAUGGUAAAAUAAGACCAGCAAGACCGCCCGGAUGUGCCGACAAAUCCCGAUAGGAGAUGCACAUAUCUCGUUCUUAGGGCACACCGGAUGAACACUACGUACAACUAAAACCAACCCUCAAGUUUCCCCGAGGUGGCGCUGCAAGUGGCUCUAGUUCAGACCAACACUCAGAGGAUCACUGGCCCUGGGGGGUUAAAUAAAGAUGACCCUCGGGCUCCGGAAACCCAAGGGAAAAAGGCUUAGGUAGGCAAAUGGUAAAACCAAGGUUGGGCCUUGCUGGACGAGUUUUAUUCAAAGCGAACUGUCAAGGGGGUCACAUAAAUCACCCAACCGCGUAAGGAACGCAAAAUCAAGGAACAUAACACCUGUAUGACGGAAACUAGGGCGGCAAGAGUGGAACAAAACACCCUUUACCAAGUAUAUAGGUGCAUUAAUUAAAUAAGAGAUAUUGUGAUAUCCCAACAUAAUCUUGUCCAUCAUGGAGAAAUCUUCGACUUCACCUGCAAAUAACAAUGCUAUAAGAGGGGCUGAGCAAAAGCGGUAACAUAGCCAAGCAACGGUUUGCUAGGAAGGGUAAAAAGGUUAGAGGCUGACACGGCAAUUUGGGAGGCUUGAUGAACAAGUGAUAGGUAGCACAUCAUAGCAAUAGAACGAAGCAACUAGCAUAGCAAUGAUAGUAGUGAGAUCCAAGGUGACGGUCAUCUUGCCUGAAAUCCCACUAGGAAGAAGAAUGAGUCCAUGAAGAAGACGAAGCCACGAAGACGAACCAAGCGUAGACGAACGAAUCCUCACGAUCGCAACGAAAAAGGAACUAACGAGAAGGAGCACAACCGGAAAGAAGCAAACAACAAGGUAAACACACAACACAUAAACAUGACAUGAUGCACAACCAAGCAUGAUGCAUGACAAGGCUACAUGCAGCUACUCAUGGCAAGAGAGGAUGCAUACAAGAGCAACACAUUAAAGCAAGUUUAAAUGAGGCCGGAAACAACAUAUAACAAAUCCGGUAAGUCCUCAUAUGCAAAUUUCAAAAUUGGUCCAGAUCUGAAUAAACCUUAUGUUCAAGUUGUUAAACAGCAAGUUAAGAUGCACCAAGAUGAUCUACACGAAAUUCUAGUCAAGUUACAUAUAAAGUUCAUUAGGUUCGGAGCUACGGCCUAGAAGAUAUGAGGAACACAAGAUAAACAUGGCACUUAUGCAAAAUGCAUACAAGCAUCAAGCAAACACACUCAAAUCAUGGAUGCAAUAAGGUAACAUGAAACUACAUGCAAAACUAAGCAAUUUUUAUAUGGAGCAUGCUCAAAACGGAGCAACAGUUCAACACAUACACAUGAAACAAGUUUAAAGGACAAACUGUCCAAAACAGCAACUAGGCAUCUAGCAAGCAUCAAAACAAUAUGCUACAACACAUCAACAUGAAAACAAAAGGCAUGGACAUGAUGUACAUAUGAAGCAUAACAAGACAUGAACACUGAGCUAUCUCCAGAAAACAUGCUCAAAAGGACAUGGCAAGAUUGCAAAUAAUAACAGUUCACAGACUUAGUAGAAAAUCACUGAGCAUGACAGAAAUAACAUCAAGUUGCAAUGUUUAGAGCUAUCAAACAACAUGUUACAGCAAACUAUCAUGGCAAAAUAGAGCAUGGCAUGCUCAUACUAAAGACAAAUAACAAAACUCCCUUACUGAACUAAUUCCAAAGAUCAAAAUAAAAGAUGGUAGCAUCCAUGCAAACAUGGCAAAUGAUAUGAAAGAUUCAGAAUAACAGUACAUGGCAGGAACAACAAUAAGUAGGCAUGUUGGUGAGCUUGUACAACUCACCACAGAGAAAUACAUGGCAUGAAAAUAUGACCAACAGUAAGAAGACACAUUUAUGAAGCUAAACAUGGCAAUAGAAUAGUCAUAGGGUGCAUGGAUCACUAGCAAAACUCAUGACAAAACUGAACUUGAUGUUAACAGGCUGACAGCAACAUUAUUUAGCAACUAUGGAGCAUGAUAACGACAAGCUACAGCAGGCUAUAAAUGCAAACAAGGACAUGGAUUGAUACAACAUAACAUGUAGAAUAAAACAUCCUUAGUGAACAUCUCCAGAUUAUGCAUAGAAUGACUUGUAGCAGCAGGUUUACAUAGCAUCAUGAUAUAACAGAUUCAGCCUAGUAAAACAGUAACAGCAAGUAGCCCACUUCACAAGCUUGAUGCACUCACCACAAGGCACACAAAAAUACGUGGAUUGCACCACCGUAAAGAUGGCACGAUGUAGCUCAAAUAUCAUGUAGACAUCAAGCUCAUAGGAUGCACACACAAAAAGCAAUGAAAAAGACAAAUCAACAAGUUCUGUUAACAGACAGCAGUUAACAUCAUAUAGCACUCUUGCCAUGAUGAUUAGGGCAUCAAUAUGGACUCAAACAAGCGUCCCACAAUGGAACAAAAUGAGGAGCAUCUCACAAUGAACAUUUUGAUAUAUCAUACAUUCAAGACGGAGCUAUAUGCAUGAAACUAUGAUGCGAUGAAGAUGCACAUUUAAUGUUAGGAUCUCGGGGACUUGCCAGAAAAAUGCCUUCCGAAAGUCAAUGGGACGAGGCGGUUCGGGGAUGAGCAGAUCCGGGUACGGGGGAGGCGUUGGAUCGGGGGAGUGGUGGAUCUCAUCCCACUCCCCAGAUCCGGCUGUUGAGUAUAUUGAUUCUUUAGGAAACAUAAGAUAGACUAGGAUUUGUCCUGCCUUGUCUUGUACUCCAAGAUGAUCAUGUACUCCUAUAUAUAUGCCCACGAGGCUCAAGCAAUACAACAAACUAUGCCACCAAUCCCUCUCUCCCUUCCAACAUGGUAUCUAUCGCAAGUCGAUCCUAAACCCUAGCCGCCGCCCUUCCGCACCUGCGCGCCGCCCCCGGGGCGGUCGGCCUCCAUGACCGCCGCCGGGGGCCGCGCCACCCGUUCCUAGGGUUCGUCCGCCGGUCGUGUUGACCGGCUGCCCUAGAGAGUCUUUUCCCCGAGGCUUGCUCCGAGGUUUUCUCUCUCCCACCGGUCAUCUUGAUCGCACGGUUUCUUUUUGGUUUUCCGAUCUAUUCUUGAUCGGUUUGCGUCGCCCACCGCCGCCGUCGACCCCGAGCGCCUCUACUCCGACCUCGGCGUGACCAGCCGGCCUCUCCUCCGACCCGGCGGCCACGCGAGCCGAGGCGGCCCUUCGCCGCCGUCGUUCGCGCGUCGGCCCGCCCGUCGAUCUACGCCGGCCGUCACCCCCUGCUCCGACCGGGACUCCUGCAUCACCCGACCCGGCGGCCUCGCGCCAUGCGGCGGCCAAUCAUAGCCGCCCUGCCGCCCGCCGUCGCCGGCUUCAUCUCGGACACCACCGCCACCCCGUCUCCACCGAGCGGUGUCCCCGACCUCGCGCGUGAUCGGAUUGAUCACCCACCCGCCGCCGCGAUCCGCCACAUCUACCCGUGCGACCGACCUGGCCCAUCGGUUGCGUGCGCCUCCGCAGGUCCCGUGAAGAUCGUCCCCGAGUUCAGCGCGUCCCUCCACCAAUCGAGCAACGGGUUGCCGCUGCAUCGCCCCGUCGGGCCGCAGCGCCGCCGCCCCGUGGUUCUUCUCCUGGAUGCACCGACCCGCGUCACUGCUGCGUCGCCCCUUCGGGCCGUAGUGCCGCGGCCCGCGGUCCACCGCCGCCCCGAGGCCGUCCGCUCCUGGUCGUCCCCGUGGCCGCACCGACCCUCGCGCCGUCGCUGCGUCGCCCCAUCGGGCCGUAGCGAGCGUGGCACGUGGUCCACGCAGCCGUCCCGAGGCCGUUCCCGCGGUUGCACCAACCCGCACUCCUCCGUCGCGCCGCCCCUUCGGGAUGUCGCGCCACGUCCCGCGGUCUCCGCCGCCGCCCUGAGGUCUUACCGUUGUCGCCCCGACCUGCCCGCCGCCGCUGCGUCGCCCCUUCGGGCCGUAGCGUCGCGGCCUGUGGUACACUCCGCCGUCACUGCGCGUCGACCUCCAGUGGUAUGCGCUGCACCGUCUCCCUUGGCGCAGGAACGCCACCGUCUGCGCCGGUCUUCGUCACACUGUUGGGUCCUUCGCCUACUUCGAGCACCGCUGCCGCGCUCCUAACCUAGCCGCUGCCUCCGCCGUCAGGCCGCCGUCGCCGCUCUUCUUUGGCCGCCGCCGCCUCUACCACCGUAGCCGCCGCAGCCGCCCGUCCACCUCCUUCGUCUUCGUCCAGCACCAGUCUGUCACCAGCAUCGCCGUCAUCUACCUCGACCGCUUCAUCUACUCCGACAACCGCGGGCGACAUUGGCCCCGUGCCGAUUGGCGCCGCCACCGUCGUCGAGUCCUUCUCUGCUGGCCUCUCCGACCUCUUCGAGAUGGCGUACAGCUCGUGCAGGUCCCAGUCUACGCAUGCCCGGUGCUGGCAACACCGCCGCGUGCCUUCGUCCACGACGUGUCCCCCGGGCCCGGCAAGCCUGGUGCGGUGCUUCGUCAACUUCGUCUCCGUCCGUCUACGCAUGCCCGGUGCUGGCAACACCAACGCGUGCCUUCGUCUACGAUGUGUCCCCUGGGUUGGCAACCCCGGCGCGCCGCGUUGUCAACAUCAUCUCCUUACUGGCGCACCACUACUUCGACAUCACUGCGCCCACGACUAACUCGGCGCCUCCUUGCGCCCGCGGCUCCACGGCAACUUCCUCGACACCGGCUACCCCGACUCGACAUCGACCACGGCAUUCGUCGCACGGCUACCUCGACCAAGGCUCUACCACCCACGCUCUCGGCUACAUCGACGAACGGCACAAAGGGCUACCGCCUGCUUGAGCAAUCUCGUCGGUUUUCACUCCAGCCACAACUCCGCGAUGCAUCGACCGUUACGACUGUGGGGGGUGUCCGUCGACUUGCCUUCGGAUUCUUCUCCAGUCUCAUCGUCUGCGUCGCUACCGUUGUGACUGCAGGGGGAUGUUGAGUAUAUUGAUUCUUUAGGAAACAUAAGAUAGACUAGGAUUUGUCCUGCCUUGUCUUGUACUCCAAGAUGAUCAUGUACUCCUAUAUAUAUGCCCACGAGGCUCAAGCAAUACAACAAACUAUUCCACCAAUCCCUCUCUCCCUUCUAACACCGGCGACGAGGCGGCAACUCCGGCAAUGUUCUGGCGAGCUCCGGCUCCAACCGGCGCGGAGGAGGAUGGCGAGGGGCGGCAAGCUCCGGAUGGCGGGGGCCGAAGGCGGCGGGGUGAGGCGGAGCUGAGGCGGGACGGUGGGGUCGACGUGGGCGGCGCGGCCCAUGGUGGCCGGUGAAGGCGAUGCCGGCGUCGGGGCUCGCCGGCCGGCGGGGCCACGGAGGCGCGGGACGCCGGAGGGGCGAGGGCGACGGGGCCCCGAGCGGGAGGCGCUGCGGAUCAGGGCGGCGACGAGCACGGUCAGCGACGGGUCGGNNNNNNNNNNNNNNNNNNNNNNNNNNNNNNNNNNNNNNNNNNNNNNNNNNNNNNNNNNNNNNNNNNNNNNNNNNNNNNNNNNNNNNNNNNNNNNNNNNNNNNNNNNNNNNNNNNNNNNNNNNNNNNNNNNNNNNNNNNNNNNNNNNNNNNNNNNNNNNNNNNNNNNNNNNNNNNNNNNNNNNNNNNNNNNNNNNNNNNNNNNNNNNNNNNNNNNNNNNNNNNNNNNNNNNNNNNNNNNNNNNNNNNNNNNNNNNNNNNNNNNNNNNNNNNNNNNNNNNNNNNNNNNNNNNNNNNNNNNNNNNNNNNNNNNNNNNNNNNNNNNNNNNNNNNNNNNNNNNNNNNNNNNNNNNNNNNNNNNNNNNNNNNNNNNNNNNNNNNNNNNNNNNNNNNNNNNNNNNNNNNNNNNNNNNNNNNNNNNNNNNGGCGGCGGAGGUGCACGGGGCGCGGCGGCGGAGGCGUGCAGGCUGCCCCGGGUCCCGAUGGGCUUGGGCGGGCCUGCUACGGGCCCGAGCGGGCUGGCGGCGGAGGGAGGCGACGACGGGACACGUGGCAUGCUCGGGUUGGACGGGGCGGCGAAGCGGACAUGUCCGGCGCGGGCGGUGGACGUGUCCGGCGGCGCGAGGAGGAAGAAGCUAGGGUUUGACUGCGAGAUUUUGAGGGAAGGCACCUAUUUAUAGAUAGAGGGAGCUAGGAGAGUCCAAAUGAGGAGCGGUUUUCGCCCACACGAUCAUGAUCGAACGGCGGAGAGCAUGGAGGGGGGUUAGAUAGGCUGGGUGGGCUGUGUGAAGUGGUGCUGGGCUGCAAAGGGAAGGGGGGUUUCGGGCUACGCGGUUAAUCGUUGGGGCAUCUAACGACCUCCAAAUGGAACGAAAUUUGACAGGCGGUCUCCCGGUGAUACACCAAGGCCACUCGGCAAAUCUCGGCCCAUUCCGAGAAUGCUUUUCUCCCGUUCACGAAACAAGGUCUGCGAGGUGCGACGGGCGCGUGCGAGUGUGUCUGUGCUCAGAACGGAGAAUGGAGAGAACCGGGGGAACCCGAACGGAUGCAAGUUUUGAAAAACAUGCAGAUGAAAUGCAGAUAAUGACAUGGCAAAAUGCAACACGCAAGCAAGUGACAUGGCAACAAUGACGAAUAGCUGGAAGACACCUGGCGCAUCGGUUCCGGGGCGUUAUACAUGGCAAGUACAAUUGAUUUGCCAUGGCAACUACAUCUGUCCAGGCAUGGCAAAUGCAGUCAUCUAGGCAUGGCAACCCAGGCAUAGCACUGCAGUUGUCCAGGCAUGGCCAAUGCAGUUCUGCAUGCAUGGCAACUGCAUCUGUCCAGGCAUGGCAAAUGCAGCUGUCCAGGCAUGGCAACUGUGUCCUGUCAAAUCACCACGAAAACCCCAAUGUCACCUAUGUUCAUUCUCCUGAAUCAUUGUGCACAAAUUCACUCCAUACGUCUCACCUGUGUACGAUGUUGAUGGCAGGUACAUGGUUGCCUCCUAUUGCCACGUGCUACAUGAAGGCCCUGCGUUUUUCCAUAUAACUCGUAAGUCUUUGUCACCCUUACAAGUUUAAUUUCAUGUGCACACCAGUAUGUUUCCUUUUCGUACGUGUUACCUUGAUUUGCCACAUUGGCUACUUGAAGUUGGUCGCCCAUACAUCUGUCAGCGUUAGCGCCCUUGCCUGAACUUGCCAUGGUAUCCCCGUCUGUGUGGUUGGGUCAUAAGAAC
rnacentral:lncRNA from 1 species